rnacentral:rRNA from 1 species
UACAGAGGGGGCAAGCGUUGUUCGGAAUUACUGGGCGUAAAGGGCGCGUAGGCGGCCUGCUAAGUCGAACGUGAAAUCCCUGGGCUCAACCCAGGAACUGCGUCCGAUACUGGUUGGCUUGAAUCCGGGAGAGGGAUGUGGAAUUCCAGGUGUAGCGGUGAAAUGCGUAGAUAUCUGGAGGAACACCGGUGGCGAAGGCGACGUCCUGGACCGGUAUUGACGCUGAGGCGCGAAAGCCAGGGGAGCAAACGGG